GAAAAAAGAAAUUAGUUAUGAAUGGGUGGGUCUAAAUAUGUAUAUUCAUCCCAUAUGUAAACCCUGUUGAAUAAUUGAUAACACACCCUGAGGGGCUGCGCAGGGGGUCAGUGAAUAACGAACUGCUGUUAGAAAUCAAACGAUGGCCCAGUAACUCAACAAGCAGCUGGUUUGAUGUUUUGUAGCGCUUUUUUGUUCAUUAAAAUCAUUUCAAGUCAGGUGUACUUGAAGGCAUCUCAGCGGGUUGGUAAAAUAGAUUUUCUUUUGCUUUGAUUUCCUAACUGUAUUUAUUAUUUCACAGAUGAUAUUAGCAACCAGUAUACUUACCAAAAUACAUGAUGAGCAGGAGGUGGAAGGAAAGAACAGAUUGCAUGAGGUGUUUGCCAAUUCAGUGGUGUGUGAAAGUCUCACACAUCCACGCAGGUCAGGUGUUUAAAAUGAGCUGAUGACCCAUAUAUCACCCUUUCAUGAUUUUAGGCCCUUUUCAAACAAAUAUUUUGACAUUACUGUAUAUCAAAGUGCCUUUAAACAUGUUAACACUUGCUGCAUCACUAGAUGCUCGGACUGUUUCAGAAAGGUCAUGAUGUAAACAAUCGGUUUGUUUUUAUUAAAGUCACCAUGAAAUAAAGAUUGACAGUUCUUGUUUUUUAUGCCGUAUUGCAGUGUUUGAUAUACAUGAUUUAUCCAUGUACAUCAUUAUUAUUAUUUUUUUAAUUCAUGUGCCCUCGUAAUCUUUAAUCAAAAUAACUCCCCCUCCCUCUUGCAGCGACAUCUCUUCUCUGAUGAAGUGUUUACUGGCAUGAGGGCGGGACAACCUGUCACUCACAUGAGAUCGACCAAUAGCAAACCACAACCAUCCAAUCAAUUUCCCAUGGAAAAAAUGAAGUCCCACCCUAUCACAAGAGGUUGGUUUAGGUCCGCCUGUCACGUCAUUGCCUGCUGGGAUGCGAGUUUCCCUCCAACGAUGGGGAAAAACAUAUCUUGAUCGCAUUAUGCAAGUCAAUCCAUGUUCAUUUUGCCCACACACAAUCUUGCAGCACUUGCACUUGCAGCACAGCAAAAAUAGACUCGGUACAUAAACGAUCGCUGCACUGCUGCAGACGCACCGCUCCUGGAACGCAAUGACGGACCGCAACCGCGUGCAGUGUGAACGCUCUAAUCCGUUAACAUGGGUGCGUAAAAAAAUACGCAACGCAUACGCACUGCAGACGGAUUAUGUGUGAAACAG